UUUGUAACAGAAAUUAUGUUCGCCUUGUAGUCUGAUCUGUAUACAUUGGUUGGUAGCUUUGUUACACACAAUUCAGCAAGAACAGAUCCAUCAAAUCCCUCAAUUGAGCUGGGCCCUGAGUUCAAAAGGUUGGGAGUUCCUUGGUCGCUUCAAGUCGAUUCCUAGCAUUGUUGAGCUCAACAGCUUGAAGGUUUCCGGUGAUGUUUGGUUCGGUUCUGGCAUCGUGCUGAAGGUGGCUAUCACAGGAAAACCUGGUGUCAAGCUGGAAAUCCCAGAUGGCACAGUGCUCAAGAACAAG